rnacentral:rRNA from 1 species
UACGGAGGGUGCGAGCGUUGUCCGGAAUCACUGGGCGUAAAGGGCGUGUAGGCGGCUCAUGAAGGCUGUGGUGAAAGUCCGGGGCUCAACCUCGGAUCGGCCGUGGCGACUCGUGGGCUGGAGCACUGUAGAGGCGGGUGGAAUUCCGGGUGUAGCGGUGGAAUGCGUAGAGAUCCGGAAGAACACCAGUGGCGAAGGCGGCCCGCCGGGCAGUGGCUGACGCUGAAGCGCGACAGCGUGGGGAGCAAACAGG